rnacentral:rRNA from 1 species
UUAAAGAGUGCGUAAUAGCUCACUAGUCGAGUGACACUGCGCCGAAGAUGUACCGGGGCUAAGCAUAUUACCGAAGUUGCGAAUUCAUACUUUAAGUAUGAGUGGUAGGGGAGCGUUCUAACAACUGUGAAGGUCGAUCGUGAGGACGGCUGGAGUGGUUAGAAGUGAGAAUGCCGGUAUGAGUAGCGCAAGAUGGGUGAGAAUCCCAUCCACCGUUUGCCUAAGGGUUCCUGAGGAAGGUUCGUCCUCUCAGGGUAAGUCAGGACCUAAGACGAGGCCGAAAGGCGUAGCCGAUGGACAACAGGUUUAUAUUCCUGUACCACCUAUAUAACAGAUGGAAUGACGGAGAAGGCUAGGAAGAGCCAAUUAUUGGAUUUUGGUUUAAAUACAAAGGCUAGUAUAUAGGCAAAUCCGUAUACGAUACAGCUGAAGUACGAUGACGAAGGUAGUUUACUACCGAAGUCUUCUGACGCCAUGCUUCCAAGAAAAGUUUCUAUGGUUAAUUAUAUAGGUGCCUGUACCGAGAACCGACACAGGUGGGCAAGGAGAGUAUCCUAAGGUGAGCGAGAGAACUAUGGUUAAGGAACUCGGCAAAAUGACUCCGUAACUUCGGGAGAAGGAGUGAUCAAGCAAUUGAUCCGCAGUGAAUAGGCCCAGGCGACUGUUUACCAAAAACACAGGUCUCUGCUAAGUCGAAAGACGAUGUAUAGGGGCUGACGCCUGCCCAGUGCUGGAAGGUUAAGAGGAGAACUUAGCAUUAGCUUCGGUUAAGAUAGCGAAGGUUUGAAUUGAAGCCCCAGUGAACGGCGGCCGUAACUAUAACGGUCCUAAGGUAGCGAAAUUCCUUGUCGGGUAAGUUCCGACCCGCACGAAAGGUGUAACGAUCUGGGCACUGUCUCGACCAUAGACUCGGUGAAAUUUUAAUACCUGUGAAAAUGCAGGUUACCCGCGACAGGACGGAAAGACCCCGUGGAGCUUUACUGCAGCUUGAUAUUGAGAUUCGGUUAAUUAUGUAGAGAAUAGGUGGGAGACGUUGAUACUAGGACGCCAGUUCUAGUGGAGUCACCUUUGGAAUACCACCCUUAAUUAACUGGAUUUCUAACCUGGUACCGUGAAUCCGGUAUAGGGACAGUGUCUGGUGGGCAGUUUGACUGGGGCGGUCGCCUCCUAAAGAGUAACGGAGGCGCUCAAAGGUUCCCUCAAAAUGGUUGGAAAUCAUUUGUAGAGUGUAAAGGUAUAAGGGAGCUUAACUGCGAGACCAACAAGUCAAGCAGAUGCGAAAGCAGGACUUAGUGAUCAGGCGAUUCAG